rnacentral:tRNA from 1 species
UCCCUGGACGACUAGUGGUUGGGCCGCAGCACUCUCAUGGCUGUGGCUCAGGUUCGAUUCCCAGCCAGGGAA